AAGUUGGAUGUGAAAUCCUAUGGCUCAACCAUAGAACUGCAUCAAAACUGAGGGGCUAGAGUCUGGGAGGGGAAGAUGGAAUUAGUGGUGUACGGGUAAAAUCCGUAGAGAUCACUAGGAAUACCAAAAGCGAAGGCGAUCUUCUGGAACAGUACUGACGCUGAGGCGCGAAAGCGUGGGGAGCAAACAGCGAUUAGAUACCCUGGUAGUCCACGCCCUAAACUAUGAAUGUUAGUCGUCGGGAGGCUCGUCCUCUCGGUGAUGCAGCUAACGCAUUAAACAUUCCGCCUGGGGAGUACGGUCGCAAGAUUAAAACUCAAAGGAAUAGACGGGGACCCGCACAAGUGGUGGAGCAUGUGGUUUAAUUCGAAGAUACGCGAAGAACCUUACCUGGCCUUGACAUUGAUAGAAUCUGCUAGAGAUAGCGGAGUGCCCUUCGGGGAGCUUGAAAACAGGUGCUGCACGGCUGUCGUCAGCUCGUGUCGUGAGAUGUUGGGUUAAGUCCCGCAACGAGCGCAACCCUCGUCACUAGUUACUAACGGUUCGGCCGAGGACUCUAGUGAGACUGCCUUCGUAAGGAGGAGGAAGGUGAGGACGACGUCAAGUCAUCAUGGCCCUUACGGCCAGGGCGACACACGUGCUACAAUGGGAUGUACAAUGAGACGCAAUACCGCGAGGUGGAGCAAAUCUAUAAAGCAUCUCUCAGUUCGGAUUGUAGUCUGCAACUCGACUACAUGAAGCUGGAAUCACUAGUAAUCGUAGAUCA
rnacentral:rRNA from 1 species